CUCCCAUCUCCAAGAUGGCGGAGACAGCUUCAACCUCACCUCUCGCGAGGAGUACGUCCUACUGUUUCUGAUUAGCCCUGAGGUCAGAGAUGCUGAGAACGGUGGUCGCUGGAACCACUGUUCUGGUGGACAGUUAAGACAACUGUUUCCUCCGACCAGCUUCGCUCCCCACAGAGCUGCCCAAGUUAACAUCUGCUCGUGGGGUUGGACCAUCUGUUUUUGUGAAAGUUACAAUAUUAUUGUUUAUAAAAAUCCAAA